rnacentral:tRNA from 1 species
GCAUCGGUGGUUCAGUGGUAGAAUGCUCGCCUGCCACGCGUUCGAUUCCCGGCCGAUGCA